CCUUUGAUGGCGACCGGCGCACGGGUGAGCAACACGUAUCCAACCUGCCGAUAACUCGGGGAUAGCCUUUCGAAAGAAAGAUUAAUACCCGAUGGCAUAAUAGAACCGCAUGGUUUGAUUAUUAAAGAAUUUCGGUUAUCGAUGGGGAUGCGUUCCAUUAGGCAGUUGGUGGGGUAACGGCCCACCAAACCUUCGAUGGAUAGGGGUUCUGAGAGGAAGGUCCCCCACAUUGGAACUGAGACACGGUCCGA
rnacentral:rRNA from 1 species